rnacentral:tRNA from 1 species
AGAGUUGUAGCUCAACGGUAGAGCGCUUGCCUCACAUGUGUGAGACACUGGGUUUGAUCCCCAGCACCACAU